AACGCAUAUUGCACUCUUUGGUAUUCCGAAGAGUAUGCCUGUUUGAGGGUCAUUUGAAAAUUAAUCAAGUUUAAUCUCUUGGAAUAAUGAGUUUUCCGCGUUAUCAUAUCAUCGUCGUAUGGUAAUUGGUCACUCGAAAUUAAUGUCAUGUCUUGGCUUGUAACAGACGCGUUUAUUUUAAAUGUUCGCAACUAAUCAAGUCUUGUGUAAUGGCAUGUUUAAUUUUUCCCUUUUAAAAGAGGAAGAAAUCGAACAAACAACCAAAUUAAUCGUGACCUCAAAUCAGGUAAGAGUACCCGCUGAACUUAA
rnacentral:misc_RNA from 1 species